AUCUACACAAACUUAGGACAGGAGAUUGAUAUUUCUUUUCUUCUUUUUCUUUAUUUCUACUUUUAUUUUUCUUGGGUAUUUAUAUAUUUACAUUUCAAAUGUUAUCCCCUUUCCCCCUUCUCCCAUACCCAAUCCUCCUGCUUCUAUGAGAAUGCUCCCAUUCCCACCCACCCACUCUGACCUUAAUGCCCUGGCAUUUCUCUACACUGGGGAAAUGAGCCUUCAUAGGACCAAGGGCCUUUCUUCCUAUUGAUGCUGAACAAUGUCAUCCUCUACUGCAUAAGCAUCUGGAGCCAUGGGCCCCUCCCUGUGAACUCUUUGGUUGGUGGUUUAUUCCCUGGGAGCUCUGGUGGGGUCUGGUUGGUUAAGAUUGUUGUUGGAUAUUUCAUUUUGAGUUGUUAGAUAUGAUAACCCCUGAUGUGUACCACAGAUGUCACAGGACACAUUAAAUACGUUUUACUUAAUUCUUACAACAACUGUUGCCGCAUACUCAUCAUUGUGGGAAACUGAUUCUUGAUAUUUUAUUCUAAAAUUUCUUCACUAUAAUUAAUUUUACUUGUAAAAUAAUUGAUUCAUACAAAGGAUGUUUUUCUUUUAAACUCCUUUUCUUAUUUUAAGUAUGCCUGAAUGCUCACUGAGUGAAACCCAGAGUUAAUGACUUACCUGUAGUGCUUGGGAUGACAGUUCAAUGUUUCCAACAGUACUUGAAUCUACAGUACACAAACAUGACUUUCUACAAUAGCUAUUUUAAUAAGCAUGGUCUCUGUUUUCCAGUGUGUGAUCAAGCUCAAUAUGUGAUCAUAGUGUUUCAGGAUUUGAGUAGAAUUAUUAAAUGAAGAUGUACCUAAAUAGAUGGUCAUUUUUAACAAUAUUUGUGUAAAUAUGAGGCUUAAUAAUACAGUUCAGGGUUAUAAAUUUGUAUGCUUAUUUUUAGAAAUAUGGAGGAUUAUGUCUGCCAGCUUUCUCUCUCUCUCUCUCUCUCUCUCUCUCUCUCUCUCUCUCUCUCUGUCUCUCUCUCUCUGUCUGUCUCGAUAUUAUGGAAAAUAGAUUCUUCUCUCAUAUAAUACACCCAAAUCACAAUUUCUCCUUCCUCUUCUCUUCCUAACUCACCCACCUUCUCUAUAUCCCAGAUCACCCCUGACUGUUUUCUUUUCCAAAAAAAUCAGGAUUCUAAAAGAUGACAACCAAAUGGGAUUAAACAAGACACAAUAAGUUGAGGCAAAAGCCCUUAUAUCCAUAGUUGUUGAUAGUUCUUAAGGACCAAGACACUAUGUACACUUUUAAUUGUAUAAUUUAAAUAUCUAGUUUUAAUUCUGUACUUGUUAGGCAAACACUCUGCACUGGUAUGUAUUCCCAGCAAUUAUAUUUUCUGUUUAAGGUUUACUUUCUGGUAGUGAGCAUUACAAAAGUAUUUUUUUUUUGUUCUAGAUUUUCACAAACACUCCUUAACCCAAUAUCCUUGACACAAUUUAAAGAGUUCAAAUGUGUUUCUAGUAUAGAUAAAUAUGCUUCUUAAGUAACUUUUCUAGAUUUCUCCAUCUCCUCAAGGAAGAUUUUUUGCCAUAGCACAUCAAACUAGAGCACAGGAUGUUCUGAGGAAAAUUUAGCCUUAGUGUAAAUUAGAAGACUUCAAAACAGACCUUUCUCUCUGACCAGAUUCAGACUUGUCUCAAAGGACCAGGCUUCAUAAGCAGUGGAAUGGCUACAUUUCCACAUCUGGGCAACGCAUUGCACAGUUCACUCUAGUUCUCCCGCCAUGCUGCUUUCUUUGACUUUUGUUCCCUAGUAGAAAGUAACACAAAUGAUUCUUAGCCUAAUUAUGUAACUGGGUUCAGUGAGUCAAUGGAUACCUUUGGGGCUGUUUCAGUUCUUGCCAAUGUUUGUACAAACACAUAUAAGUAGGGCAGAAGAUGGAUAUUUCAUUUUGAGGUGUGGUGUAAGCUUUAGUUGACCAGAGACCACAGUUCCUAAGAACGUUAAUUUCUUUCAGGGUAGUGGGAUGCUGAAAUUGUUUUGUUGGGAUAGACUAAAGAACUUCCCCUGUGCAGAAAGUAUGUGCUAUUCUAAUCCUUCUCUGUCCAGAAACCAGUCUGAUCACUGGGUCAGAGUGCAUUUUGGGUAAAUGUUGCAGCUCAGGUGAAAGAACACAUUCUUCAAAUGGAAUGUCCUGCCACUUUAAUGAAUUAAUUAGGAAGGUAUGCAUACAGGGUUUCUAGUUUUACCUCAUGACAUUUCUCUAUUUAUUUUCUUUAAUUACUUCUGUAUUUGUUCUCAUCUUUAUUUCUUUCCUAAGAUUUUUGUCCCAAUCUUUCUUUCAGUUUCUCCUGGAAAUUCUAAUGUUGUUAUAGGUGAGGCAGCUUGGAAUUGAAUUUUGACAGAGAUGCCAGAAACAGACUCUGGAGAAAAGUAGAUUUUUUUAACAAAUGUUCUUUGGCAAAUUGAAUGUCCACAUGCAGAAAGAUGCACAUUUGUUGUGUAUGUAUUUUGUAUGUGUGUCAGUAGUGUCAGCAUAUAUAUAUGUAUAUAUAUAUGCGUGUGUGUAUAUGUAUAUGUGUGUGUGUAUGUAUGUGCAUGUGUGGUGUGGAGUACAUGUUUUUCUGAGUGUUUGCAUGUAUCUAUACAAGGAAAUGUAUAUAUCUAUGAGUGUCUGUAUACUUAUGUGUAAUGCAUAUGUGCAUAUGAACAUGUAGAAAUGUGUUUAUAUAUGUGUUUGUGUGCGUGCAUGCAUUUACACAUCUGUCUGAAUGGACAUGUGUGUAUUUAUCUUCACACAUGUGUAUAAGAGUACCUAGAGAUGAUAACUUUUGCUUUGCUUUUUUUCUGUAUUCUAUCUUUUUAACAUUAGAGACUCUGUCAUAAUCUGCAUCUGACUAUUAUUGAUAAGGAAGCUUGGCUGAUACUGGUCCAUUGGUCUGGUCUCAGGUUCUAUGGUACAGAGGAUGGAGAUAACCCUGAUCAUGGACACAUACCAUCUAUCAAGGCAGACAUCUCUUUAACUAAGUAAUCAGGAAAGACAACCUGCUCUAUGUGUAAUGACCAGGAAAAAGACUUUCUGAGGGAUUUGACAUUAAUGUUUAUGAUUUAGUAACAUACUUUUUGGCUCCCAUAACUGUUCAGGGAUCAGACUGAAGGAGGACCACCACCCAGAUCCCCAUUUGGCACAUGUCAUUAGUGUUGGGCAGUACAGCAUGACAAGCAAUUAGGUCUUGACAGCUGCUGAGAUGACAAAGCAAGUCACUCAGGAAACUUGGGCAUUGGCCACAGAAAUCACUGCCACUACAGUGUUCGAAAGACAGAUUUCAUAGGGAUAAAUGAUAGAAAAAAGCCACACGUUCAUCUUGUCUCUUUUCACACCACAUACUGUACCUCAUUGCCUCACUGCCAAGCAGUGCCAGCAAUAUGUUCAAUAUUUGUGUUGUAAUCUCUCCCCCUUACCUCUCUCAAUUCAUUCAACAGAUGUUUCCUAAGUACUUGUAAUAAAAGCUCUUCACUGAAAACCAGGGAAAUAUAAAUAUAAAUAUAAUUACUAGAUGUGGAAUUUACAUUGGAAUGCUCAUUGUGGGUAGGACUAAGACUGCAAGCUAUGAAAGGCUUUGGAUAUUUAAUAGCUCAUAAACUAAAGAUACAAUCUAGCUAAAUUGUUUGUUGAAGAUUUUGAAGAAGAAUAAAAUGUAAGUAAAUUCUUAAUGAUAACAACAAGGCACAUAUCCAUGACAUGGGUGCCAACUCACAGAGAAACUUGGUAUAUCCGGGACUAUUGAGAACAAAAUACUAGACUGUAGAGAGUUAACAACAGUUAAAUUAGUCGUCUUUUGAUUCAUCCUGAUGAUAAAUAGCAUCAUCAAUUUGCAGUGUGGUGGGGUUCCUCUUAUGAAAAGGAGAGGUUUUGUUUUAUUCUCAACUUUGUGUAUAUGUGUGUGCUUGUGUAAGGUUAUGUGCCAAUGUGAGUAUAGGUACCCCAUGGUUCAGAAGAUGGCAUCAUUAUCUAGUAAUAUACAAGCAUGUAUUAAUAAUGAACAUUACCUAGAUAAUAUACAAGAUAUGUGAGACAUAUGAUCACCAUUUUUAAUCAUAAUGGAGUCUUUAAGGCAAAGUUCAUUAAUUAAAUGCUUAGUCUAGUCAGAUAUUAUCACAAGUAAUGAUAUAUUUGUUGUGUAUGUGUGUAUAUCUAGACCAGCAGUUAACAUCUAAUGUUUGCUUUUAUUGAUAUUUACGUUAUUAAUUCAGACAUUGUUUCCUGGUGAACCCCAUUGCUUCAGCUAGCCUGACUGGUUAAUGUACUCGAGGAAUCCUAUUGUCACCUACCCAGGAAUUUGGUAUAGAGUAUCCCACUGAGCUUAGACUUUAGAUGGAUGCUGGUAUCUGAAUUGAGGUCCUCACACUUACAUGGAGGGCACGUUGUUGACUAAAUAAGAUAUAUCCUUAGCAUGCUUUUGAAGUGCUAAUUUGCCAUAAGUAACCAUUAGUAAUUAAUGCCUAUUUAGAUUUUAGCUCUUCUGUGCAUGAAGUGGUGUCUAAUUUCAGGCUUAACUCCCCUCCCCAAUAACUAGUACUAUUGAGUAUACUUUCAUUCACCUCAUCAUUUUCAGACACAGUCUUCAAUACCUUUGAGCCAAGAGAAAUGUUCAUCAUUCCACAUCUCACUUACACUUGCAGUGUGUGCGUACAUAAGAUUAAAAGCAAGAAUUGUACACAACAAUUUCUGUAGACAACAAAUUUCAGAAUCACACCUUGAUUUAAUCUGUGUAUCUCUUGGCUGGUUUUUAAAUGUAUUCCAGAAUUCCUUGAAAAUCUAAAGGGGAACUGGUAAUGUAGUUCACCAGAUAGAGUGCUUGCCUCACAAGCAAGAAGCCUUGGGUUUGAUUGGUAGCCCCUUAUAAAACUGGGUAUAAAAUCUUUUAUGCAAAGUUCAAAGUUCAUCCACUAUUAUACAGUUUGAAGCUAGUAUAGGAUAUAGGACAACCUAACUUAAAACUGAACAAAACCUAAUAAACAGAAUUCUUGGAGGAAUAAAUAACAAUAGCAAUAACAACUCCAUUUUUCAUUAAAGAAUUUUCAAAUACAGACGUUACAAAAGAAUAAAGGCUACAUGCCCACUGUUUCUUACUGUAUCACAGAGUGUUGCUUUAUAUAAAGAACAUGUUUUAGAAGUGUUUGAUAUCUUAAUUGUGUAAGAGUUGUGCAUGUGCAUGUGCAUGCAUGUAUGCAUCUGUGCAUGUGUGCAUGCAUAUGUAUGUGCAUGCAUGUUUGUGUGUGCACACCUACACAUCCGCACAGUUGCAAGUGUCAUGCCUAUACAUGAACACAUGAGUGAAUGUGUGUGUGUGUGUGUGUGUGUGUGUGUGUGUGUGUGUAUCUGCAUGGGCACACAUGUGUGUAUUAUCCUGAACUUGGUUCUUCCUUUUAAAACCAUCACUGUAUUUUACCAUUAAGUGGAACCUACUCUAGGGAUAUGACAAAGGAAGGGAGAAAAAUACACAACAAUUUAAGUUAGCAGAUACAGAGAAUCUGGUAGUAGAGUGGAUUAAACAUGUCCAGUUCUUUUCUGUUUUUUCAUUUCUCCUCCCUCCCUUCACCCUUCCUUCCCACUUAUGCCUUUCUUUCUUCAUUUUUUCUUAAUAGUUCCUUUCUCCUUUCUUCUCAUCCUUCUCUUCAAUUCUUAUUGAAUACAUGCACCAUUUUAUCUGCAAUAUUUGGGACAGCAACUCUCAUUUUUACCUAUAAAUAGCAUUGUAAGCCCCUGCCUUUUAGUGCUUAUUCAGCUAUCAAAAACAAUGCCUUUAUGAAAUUCAUAGGCAAAUGUUUGGAACUGGAAAAUAUCAUCCUGAGUGAGGUAACCCAAUCACAGAAAAACACACAUGGUAUGCACUCAUUGAUAAGUGGCUAUUAGCCCAAAUGCUUGAAUUACCCUAGAUGCCUAGAACACAUGAAACUCAAGACAGAUGAUCAAAAUGUGAAUGCUUCACUCCUUCUUUAAAAGGGGAACAAGAAUACCCUUGGCAGGGAAUAGAGAGGCAAAGAUUAAAACAGAGGCAGAAGCAACACCCAUUCAGAGCCUGCCCCACAUGUGGCCCCAUACAUAUCAGCCACCCAAUUGUACAGGAUGGAUGAAGCAAAGAAGUGCAGGCAGACAGGAGGCAGAUGUGGAUCUCUCCUGAGAGACACAGCCAGAAUACAGCAAAUACAGAGGCGAAUGCCAGCAGCAAACCACUGAACUGAGAACAGGACCCCCGUUGAAGGAAUCAGAGAAAGAACUCGAAGAUCUUGAAAGGGCUCGAGACCCCAUAUGAACAACAAUGCCAAGCAACCAGAGCUUCCAGGGACUAAGCCACUACCUAAAGACUAUACAUGGACUGACCCUGGACUCUGACCUCAUAGGUAGCAUUGAAUAUCCUAGUAAGAUCACCAGUGUAAGGGGAAGCCCUGGGUCCUGCUAAGACUGAACCCCCAGUGAACGUGAUUAUUGGGGGGAGGGCGGUAAUGGGGGGAGGAUGGGGAGGGGAGCACCCAUAGGGGAGGGGAGGAGGAGGGGUUAGGGGGAUGUUGGCCCGGAGACCGGGAGAGGGAAUAACACUCGAAGUGUGGAUGGGAAAUACUCAAGUUAAUAAUAAAAAAAAAAAAGAAAGAAACCACUGUUCUCAGGGACACCAGUCACUCAGGGAAUAGCUAGUGCUUGUGCUCUAUUCUUAACUUUCUUUUGACAUAAGAAAAUAAGAAAUUCUCAACAAUUCUUAUCUAUAGGAUUUCCCAUUACAUUAAACAUUUAAAACUCAAUAAAGGCUUGAUACCUGCUUGACUUGACAUUUGAGUUGGUAACUUCAACAAGAAAAUGCCUCUAUCUGGGGUUUAGUAAAAAGAAAUCAUUCCUCCUUUCCCACAUUUGGGUCUCAAUAACAAGAUAAUAAAACAAAUAAUACAGUCAGUAAACAGAGCACUAGAAAGAGGGGUGUGAUGUGUUUUCCCUCUCUCUUGUUUUCAUUUCUGCUCAUUGUUGAUGUGGUGAAUAUAAAGGGGAUUUAUGUGUCAAGUUUAAAACACAUCUAUAGUUUUACUUUAUUUUUUUGAGAAUUUCCUAAACAACUAGCUGUAUUUUUAUCACUUCCACCUCUUACUAUCCCUCCUCCAAUUUCUCUGGUGGUCUCCCUACAGUCUUCUUUCAAUUUUAUAACAUUUCUUUAAAAACAUUAUUGUUAUUACACACACACACACACACACAGAGAGAGAGAGAGAGAGAGAGAGACAGAGACAGAGACAGAGACAGAGACAGAGACAGAGAGACAGAUAGACAGACAGACAGAUAAACACAUCCAUGUGUGCACACACAAUUUACUGAGUCCAUCAAGUGUUGCUUGUAUAUUUAAGGCUGAACUCUCUUGGGAUUGCAUAGCCCUCUACAGGGCUUGUUCCUGGAAAAGACAGAUUCUCCCUCUGUGAGUUGUCAUCAAAUGCCUGUAGCUUUUGAUCUAGAAGGGGGCUAGGUGAGAUUUUAUCCCUUCACAUUGCUGUGCUAGCUAGUGUUGUCAUCAUGUUAGUCUUGUUUACAGAGCUAUACUGUUGAGGUUUCCUGAGUGCAGCUUCCAUAGCAUACACAGCAGACACUAGACAGUGGCAGAUGUCUUGAUCCCCUGGCUCUUAUACACUUUCUGGUCCACUUUAAUCAGGUUCUCUGAGCUUUAGGUAUAGAGCUUGUGUUGUAUCAAUUGGGUUUGGGCACCGCUUGGUCAGUUGUGCUCUUCACUUUGACCAUAUGAACCUUUGCUAUGGUUUCCAUCAGCUACAAAUAGAAACUUUUUUGAAUGAGUAUUGAGAGCUCCAUUUACUAUGGGUAUAAGGGUACAUAUUGGAAAACAGUUUAAAAUUAUAGUAGUUUUGAAAUCUACUUGUGAGCCUUCCUGUAGGUGGAACAUUUUUAAAUGGAUGUUGAAAGAUCAAGAGUAGCAAGGCAAUAGCAUACUACCAACAAAAUGUGAUUUUCUGUGUCCUUUUUAAAAAAACAAUUGUAUCUUCAGGUGUGGGGCAACCUGCAAAUGAAUCAUAUUAUCAUCUUAGCAUGUGAAUGUUGCUCUGGGAACAUUCUCUUUAUAGUACUCAAGAUAUUCAGAGAUACAUGUGUUAACCUGAUAACUUCUCAGGCACAGUUUGCUGCCAGAAGAGGCUGCCAAGAUACUGUAAGCCAUUAGGACUAUCUGACUCAUAAAACAGCAUCGCUUCAUAUUCUAGAGUGGAAGGAUUUAAUGUAAUUCUGAUGAGAAAAGUCUGUGACCAGAAUACCUUGUCACAUCUGAGCAGCCAUCUUUAAAUGAAGGUUCAUGAAGCCUUUGAAAAAGAACCAGAGGCAUUUGACCUUGAAACUAGAAACAGAGAUGGAUACAAGUCUAGGAAUCAUGAUGCAUCUUUGAUAACCAGUAUAAUUCUUGACUCAAGUUUACAGAUAAGUGGAACUCUCACUCCUCAUCAGAGGAGCUUUGUUUUCCUGUACCAGUUCAGUGCAGGAGAAGAGAUUAAUAAAAGUUGUAAGAGUAUGCGCACUAGAUAUAUGUGUGGUGUCCUCCAGAAGUCAGAAGAGGGUGUCGGAUCCCCUGGGACUGGAGUUUAUACAGAUGAUGGUCAGCUGCCAUGUGGAAGUCGGGGUUUGAACUUACACAGAGGUCAGACAGAGCCAAGCCCUCCGUGUCCUCUGCAGGAGCAGCAGGCGCUCUUAACUUCUGAGCUGUCUCUCUAGCCACAUUCUGUUGUUUGUGAUAGGGUCUCUCGUACCCCAGGUCGGUGUCAAAGUCAUCAUUAAGUUGAGAGCGAUGUUGAGAAGGUAGGGGUGACCUCCCAGUCCUAAUCUUUAUUGUACUUCCUGAGUGUAGGUAUUAAAGGUAUUGGCCACUAUAUGUAGUUUAUGCAGUGUUGAGGAUAGAACCCACGGCUUCACACAUACUAGUCAAGUACUGCACCAACCAAGCUUAGCCCUAGCUCCUGCUCCAAUUUUCUAGUUCUGGUCAGGCUGGGCUUGACCUCCUUCUGCCCGUGUCUCCUGAGUUCUGAUUACAGAUGUUUGCCACCACUUGCUUUGCUUUUGUUCUUUGUGCCUCCUAUUUUAACUGUCCACUGUGAAUGGCCUUGUUCCUGUUGAUGACUGAAUAUGCCUUCCAGCAUGUUCUUCAUGCUGAUAGGUCUUGGGUAUGAGUCCCAACCUCACAGAUUGAGGGAAGAUUGAGGAAGUUGUCUGUCUUAGGGUUUCCAUUGCUAUGAAGAGACACCAUGACCAAAUCAACUCUUAGAAAAUAUUUAAUUGGGGCUGGCUUACAAUGUCAGAGGUUCAGUUCAUUAUUGUCAUGAUGAGAAGCAUGGCAGCAUCCAGGCAGAUGUGGGGCUAGAGGAGGCUAAAGUUCUCCAUCUUGAUCCAAAGGCAGCCAAGAGAAAACUGCUCUUCCACACUGGAUGAAACUUGAGCAUAAGACCCUAAAGCCCACCCCUCCAACAAGGCCACACUUAUUCCAACAAGGCCACAUCUCCUAAUAAUGUCACUCUCUGUGGGCCAAGCAGACAUGAGUCUAUGGUGGCCAAACCUAUUCAAAGCACCAAUGAAGGUAACAGAAUUCCGUCAAUAUACCUAAGUAAAGUAACAGUUUUUCAGCUCUUUCAGAAUAUUCAUACUUUUUGUUUGUUUUUUGAGACUCUGUGUGUGUGAGAGAGAGGGAGAGAGAGAGAGAGAGAGAGAGAGAGAGAGAGAGAGAGAGAGAGAGAGAGAGAAGGGAGAGAGAGAGGGAGAUGGAGAGGGAGAGAGAGAGGGAGAGGGAGACGGAGAGGAAAGAGAAUGCAUUUAUGUCCCAUGGUACACAAGUGGAACUCAGAUGACAACUUGAAGGAGUUGACUCCUUAUCAUGCAUCUGAGUGAUUGAAAUUAGGUCAUUAGGUUUGAUGGGAGGCUGUUUUUUUUUUUCUUUCUUGAGAUUGGGUUUCACUAUAUAGUGCUCUGGCUGGCCUAGAAUGUAGACUAGGUUAGCCUCAAAUGCAAAGGUUCUACUGCCUCUGCCUUCUGAGUACUGGGAUUAUAGGCAAGAACCUCCACACUGGCCCCUAGAGUAAGUAUUUAAGGUUAAGUCUGGAGUCCUGAGCUUGUGUGAUUCCCCUGCCUCUUGUCUCUUGAAUAGCUGGGAUGCAGGUAGACUAUCACUUUGGUUCUGGGUUGGUAAACAUGGCAGUUUGGUACACCAUCAGAACCAGUGAGGGUGUGUAGGCUAGGGAUAAGAUUUAUCAUUGCAUCUUCUGAUUAAAUGGCCUCUGGCUCAAUUUGUACAGAUUGCAUCUAAUUCUGGAGGAGGAAAGCCAUUUCUCAUAGUGGGGGUGAUUUUCUGAAUUUCACAGUGAGGCUCACAGCUUCAGACACAUGCUUUUCUCUUGAUUUCUCGGGUUUGGUGCUGGAGUAGAACCUAUUAGGCUCCUGAUUUCCUUAAUGUAGCUUUAGCAUCUGAAGUGGAGCCUUUUGCUUAUGCUGGGCUGGAGGGACUGCAAAGAUCCAGGACUUUGUUGUUGCCCUGAGGGCUCCAGUGUGUGGAUGCUGGGCUGAUCACACAAUGGGGUAAAAGUGUGAGUCUCAUGUGGUAGACAUGGAAAGCAGGAGGGUAGAUAGGUGAAGAGUACUGGGGCCACAGGAGCGGGUGGGUACAUGGUAGGGUGGGUGGCUGGGUGGAUGGGGAGUGACUGGCUGAUGGUGGGUGGAUAGAUGGAUGUAAUGGAUUGAUGAGUGGGAGGGUAAGAAGAUCGGUUAUAUUGAUGAGUGGAUGGAUGGAUGGAGUGUGUGAAGAGGAAAAUGGGUUGAGUUGAUAAAUGGGCAUGUGGAGGGUGAUGAAUAUGCUUCUUGUUCAAAUGUGUGAGCUGGAACAACCAUUUUUCCUGAAAACCGCUUUCCUUUGGAAAGUACACUAUGUUAAAGGUUUCAAAAACCUCAAAUAAUCUUAUGGCUUAUAUAAUACACACACCAGCAUCUUAAAGAUGGCCAGAUGAAAGAGGACAGUCAUCCAGUACUGAUCUGAUUCUAUUGCUUUCUCCUCUGGUUGCUCAGGAGCCUCUGGAAUCUUCCAGUGAGCUGUAGGAUUGGGUGUUUGUUUUCGAAUGUAACUCCCUAAACUCCCCAAGCAACAACAAAAAUAAAACAGAAUGCCAGAAAAAUUAAGUUGUUGGUUUCUUUUAAUUUUUUAAAUUAGGCAGUAGUAUCUAUAGAUCAUCAGAGAGCAAAAGUAAGCAAAGACACCCACGCUUUUGGUACAGUAGAUGAGAUGGCCUAGGCUUUCCUUGUCAAAGAUAUAAAAAUAAUUUAUGUCCUAAGUAAUCUUCGUGAUUUUCAAUGGAUUUAAUCAUUGAUAAUAUAUUUUAUUGCAAAAAGAACCUGUGUACUAGGCACCCAGUGAAACACCUUUCAUAACAGAUUCAAGUUAAAAACAAGUGCUACCUGUGAUGGUUAGUUUUAAUGCUCUACUUAUUUGGAGGUAGGGCAACCUAAGUGAUCCAGAAAGUGCACAUCUAGGCAUGCUGAGAAGGCAUUUCUAGAGACACUGUUUCCAACAUAAUGAAAGGUUUGAGCCAUUCAUGAAUUUGUACUUUGAACAGACUCUUAUGCAGUAGUGGACCUGUGUAUUCAGUUGGUAUAAAUAGGUCUCCAGAGGCAUAUCUUGGGACUCUAUAUCUUGUCCUAGAUUCUUUCUGUUCUGUCUUCUCUCACGUUCCCAGCUGCCCUGAAUCACCCCCACCCCCAGCCCCUUUGCUAAAUUCUCCCACCACUCUCAUGUUUUCUCCAGGUCCAUGAGGUCAAGCAACCAUGGACAGAAGCCUCUGAACAUGGAAGCCAAAAUAAUCCUUUAUAGCUCUGUGCUGUGUGGGCAGCAGCAUAUGUGUUGAGGUCAUAGGAAAACAUUGAGCAGUCAGUUUUCUCGUUUUACUGUAGUUCUGGGGAUCAAACAGGUCAUUAACAUGCACGGCAAGUGCUUUGGCUCUCUCAGCCAUCUGUCUAGCCCAGCAUUUAAAUUAAAAAAUUCAGCCUGGUCACUCAAUACCUCUGAGAUCGACUUCUGCCCCUUGGAAGUAGGUACGGUCAUGAUAGUGUUUAGUGAUGUAAUGUAUAUGGAGUUCGUAUAAGUUAUUUUGAGUAAUUAGGGGCUCAAAAUGUUAAUUCUUGGGUUACAGUGGUUAUUGUUUUAGGUAUCAUUGUUAUUGUGAGAGCAGUGUAUUGACCCAUCUCCCAGAUAAGUGUGCUUGUAAUCAUUUUAUCAUAAAACAUGUGUUGUUCAAACAUUUUGAUAAAUAACAGAGAAAUACACACAAAAGGAAGUGAGCGAUGAGAGACCAAGAGAGAGAAAGAAGCCAGCCAUGCAGUUUAGACGAGUCUUGGAGUUCAAAUAAGGUAGAAAAAUUAACUGAGAGCAAUUAUUCUGGUUAAUGCUUAGAAAGAAAUCCCAAGGCAUUUGUAUUUAUCUUACGACUGCGCAGCUCUUUGCACAGUGUCCAGUCUUUGAUUUUACAGAAACAAGCUGAGGUCACAGUCAGUUUCAGAGCCGGAUGCCAGUGUUCAAGCUUGGUGCUCUUCUGCCAUCUCCUACUCCAUGGCUACUUGAUUUCCUUCUGCAGUGUUGAGAGUGCACAGAAAGUUUUAGUGAAAAACAUAAGUAGCAGCAAGCUGACUAACACAGAAGGGAUACAAACAAGAUAUUACAGGAGGAACUGCUAGGCUGCCUGAGAAUAGCUGAGGACUGAACCCAGGGCCUUCUAGGCAAGCGCUCUACCACUGAGCUAAAUCCCCAACCCCAACUCUUACCCUGGUUCUAUUAGCCCAUUGCCUUAGUCAUGCAUGCUUUAACGCUGAGAGAAAAAUCCUUUCAUUUUCUCAAGAUUUGUAAAAACCUUACCAGUAUACUUGGAAAGGCCAAUAAAAGAUUUGUAUCAUUAUAUAGGAUCAAAGAGGCCCAAUGGACUUUGUUAAAUGGUGGCCUUAAAUUGCAUCCUUUCAUGACUGUCUGCCUAGUUUCUCCUGUUUUCCCUGCUCACUUGACUAAUUCUCCUCUGAGUAAUUUCUCAAUAAAUGUUUGCCACAUACACCUUUUCUUUAGGCUCUACUUACAAGGAGAUAUCCAAAAGCACAGAGAACUUGUUUGAAACAGCCAAGAAAGAUCUCCACUCAUUUGUAACUACUUUCCAUAGUGAUUUAUUAAAACUUCCAGUAUGUGGUCUGCAUAACUUCCUGCUUCACGCAUAACUCCAA